rnacentral:rRNA from 1 species
UACGGGGGGGGCAAGCGUUGUUCGGAAUUACUGGGCGUAAAGGGCUCGUAGGUGGCCAACUAAGUCAGACGUGAAAUCCCUCGGCUUAACCGGGGAACUGCGUCUGAUACUGGAUGGCUUGAGUUCGGGAGAGGGAUGCGGAAUUCCAGGUGUAGCGGUGAAAUGCGUAGUUAUCUGGAGGAACACCGGUGGCGAAGGCGGCAUCCUGGACCGACACUGACACUGAGGAGCGAAAGCCAGGGGAGCAAACGGG